AGGAGAGUUUGAUCCUGGCUCAGGAUGAACGCUAGCUACAGGCUUAACACAUGCAAGUCGAGGGGCAGCAUGAUCUAAGCUUGCUUUGAUUGAUGGCGACCGGCGCACGGGUGAGUAACGCGUAUCCAACCUUCCCUAUAGUAGAGGAUAGCCCGGCGAAAGUCGGAUUAAUACUCUAUGUUUUCCAAUGCAGACAUCUAAGUUGGAACAAAGGUUCACCGCUAUAGGAUGGGGAUGCGUCUGAUUAGGUUGUUGGCGGGGUAACGGCCCACCAAGCCUACGAUCAGUAGGGGUUCUGAGAGGAAGGUCCCCCACAUUGGAACUGAGACACGGUCCAAACUCCUACGGGAGGCAGCAGUGAGGAAUAUUGGUCAAUGGGCGAGAGCCUGAACCAGCCAAGUAGCGUGCAGGAUGACGGCCCUAUGGGUUGUAAACUGCUUUUAUACGGGGAUAAAGUGAGGGACGUGUCCCUUUUUGUAGGUACCGUAUGAAUAAGGACCGGCUAAUUCCGUGCCAGCAGCCGCGGUAAUACGGAAGGUCCGGGCGUUAUCCGGAUUUAUUGGGUUUAAAGGGAGCGCAGGCUGAUUAUUAAGCGUGACGUGAAAUGUAGCCGCUCAACGGCUGAACUGCGUCGCGAACUGGUAGUCUUGAGUGAGUUCGAUGUUGGCGGAAUUCGUGGUGUAGCGGUGAAAUGCUUAGAUAUCACGAAGAACUCCGAUUGCGAAGGCAGCCAACAAGGCCUUUACUGACGCUAAAGCUCGAAGGUGCGGGUAUCGAACAGGAUUAGAUACCCUGGUAGUCCCCU
rnacentral:rRNA from 1 species